GACGAACGCUGGCGGCGUGCCUAAUACAUGCAAGUCGAACGCGUCUCCGUUAAUGAUUUUAGGUGCUUGCACUUGAAAGAUUUAACAUUGAGACGAGUGGCGAACUGGUGAGUAACACGUGGGUAACCUGCCCUUGAAGUAGGGGAUAACACUUGGAAACAGGUGCUAAUACCGUAUAACAACCAAAACCACCUGGUUUUGGUUUAAAAGACGGCUUCGGCUGUCACUUUAGGAUGGACCCGCGGCGUAUUAGCUUGUUGGUAAGGUAACGGCUUACCAAGGCGAUGAUACGUAGCCGACCUGAGAGGGUAAUCGGCCACAUUGGGACUGAGACACGGCCCAAACUCCUACGGGAGGCAGCAGUAGGGAAUCUUCCACAAUGGACGAAAGUCUGAUGGAGCAACGCCGCGUGAGUGAUGAAGGGUUUCGGCUCGUAAAACUCUGUUGUUGGAGAAGAACAGGUGUCAGAGUAACUGUUGACAUCUUGACGGUAUCCAACCAGAAAGCCACGGCUAACUACGUGCCAGCAGCCGCGGUAAUACGUAGGUGGCAAGCGUUGUCCGGAUUUAUUGGGCGUAAAGCGAGCGCAGGCGGUUUUUUAGGUCUGAUGUGAAAGCCUUCGGCUUAACCGGAGAAGUGCAUCGGAAACCGGGAGACUUGAGUGCAGAAGAGGACAGUGGAACUCCAUGUGUAGCGGUGAAAUGCGUAGAUAUAUGGAAGAACACCAGUGGCGAAGGCGGCUGUCUGGUCUGUAACUGACGCUGAGGCUCGAAAGCAUGGGUAGCGAACAGGAUUAGAUACCCUGGUAGUCCAUGCCGUAAACGAUGAGUGCUAAGUGUUGGAGGGUUUCCGCCCUUCAGUGCUGCAGCUAACGCAUUAAGCACUCCGCCUGGGGAGUACGACCGCAAGGUUGAAACUCAAAGGAAUUGACGGGGGCCCGCACAAGCGGUGGAGCAUGUGGUUUAAUUCGAUGCUACGCGAAGAACCUUACCAGGUCUUGACAUCUUCUGCCAACCUAAGAGAUUAGGCGUUCCCUUCGGGGACAGAAUGACAGGUGGUGCAUGGUUGUCGUCAGCUCGU
rnacentral:rRNA from 1 species